rnacentral:rRNA from 1 species
AUACGGAGGGGGCUAACGUUGUUCGGAUUUACUGGGCGUAAAGCGCACGUAGGCGGAUUCCCAAGUUGGGCGUGAAAGCCCGGGGCUCAACCCCGGAACUGCGCUCAAAACUGGGUCACUCGAGUCCGGGAGAGGAUAGCGGAAUUCCCAGUGUAGAGGUGAAAUUCGUAGAUAUUGGGAAGAACACCAGUGGCGAAGGCGGCCAUCUGGAUCGGCACUGACGCUGAGGCGCGAAAGCGUGGGGAGCAAACAGGAUUAGAAACCCCUGUAGUCC